CUUACAUACAGGGUGUACGUAGCACAAGCUAUCAAUCCUAAUAACACAGCCCAAGUUUUCAUAUUUGACACAGCUGAGCCCAUUUUAUUGACCUGGUGACAUCACGGGUCACAGGUCAGGCUGGCCAGUAGUGGCUGGGAUGCUGCGUUCAAUGUCUUCCAGGAUUGUGGGACAAAAGAGAAUGUAGUCUCCUAAUAAAGUUCAGUUAAAAAUCACACAAAUUAAUGAAUUAAUCUGUGGAGUCCCAACACUGGUGAGUGUCACAGCCUGUCACGGCCUCACCAGCCUGUAAUCACCCACACCUGCUCCCAGUUACACUCCUGCUCUCCAUUAGCCCCAAUCACAGCCAGUAUAAGCAAGCGAUCUUCAUUCUCCAGCGGUUCCCUUCCUCAACGCUUCUCUCUUUCCAUACCCACUCUCUCCGGCUGUAUCCCAAUAAAGUGCACUCUUGUUCAUCUCUGUGUCCCCUGCCUGUCUGUACCGUAACAGUGAGGUAAGUCACGUGUUGGUUAGGUUUAGACAACAAAACUACUUGGUUAGGUAGUAAGAAGUCAUGUGAUGUAAGUAACGUAAAACUUUAAAUAACUCAACGUUAACUUGUGGUUUCACAUGGGACACAAACCCAGGUCUCCUGGGUGAAAGUCCUGUGUUUGUUUGACCCAUCCAGACUUUCUCACUGUUUAUGUUGCUCGUUAUACUAUUUCACCUGACUUCCUUAAGGCUUCCUGGCAGCCCUGUGCGUCUCAUACAAACAUUUGUGCUGAAAGCUAGCAGAGAGCUUAAUCGAUCAGCUCUAUAUAUACAGUACUCCCAAAUCGUGAUAAUAUUCAUAAGUAUGUUUUCAUUUGUGUAUAAUUACCUGAAAAUAAGAAUUGUUGUGUUUUCAUUACUUUAGAAUGUGCCCUUUAUAUCUACAGUAGUCCAGAACGAACAAACUGGCUCUAAAUAGGGCCUUUCAUGUUUUUAGCAAGUUUCGUGGCCAGGGUAGUUUCUCCUGAGGGUGAGGUGAGUGGUAGUCACUUGGUUGCAAUCUGCAAUUUCAUCGCUAGAUGCCACUAAAUCCUACACACUGCUCCUUUUGAAGCUGUUUCUAGGUUUAUUUUAUACCUCAUACAUAAUAGCAUAUUGCAUCAUUUGCCAACAAAUGGUGUAUUGAACAGGUAUUUUGGUAUAGGUGGUCCAUACCUCGCAUAACACCCUGGAGAGGCCUCAAACAAUGGAGAGGGAUGUAAGUAUAGUUAUCAGCACUCUAUCAUUAUUUAAUGAAUGCUAGAUGCUGUAAUAUCACCCGCCUCACUGAUCUUUAUGACAUCAUGUACAGUUUUAUUAGUAGAAGCAGGCCUUUGUGAUACUUUUGAGACAUUGGCUUUUAAAAAAAUGACAGAAAGCCAAUAAGGAACUCGUUGACAAAAUUUACAUACCUUUUUGAGUUUACACUGCAAAUCUGGAUCUGCUAUUUCUUCGAGAGUGGGUGGUGAUGUAGGUGUAGAGCACAGGUUUUGGUAGAGCCUCUCAGAAAAAAAAGAUCAAAGUUUCCUAAAGACGAUUAAUUGUUGGCAUUGCAAUAUAACAUUUAUUAAGGAUUUUUUUCAGGUCAUACAUUAAUCUCAUGACACGGAGAUAGUGGAAGUAGCAGAUGAUGUUGCUGAUGAUUUACAUGAGUGGCAUGCACUUUGUGCAAGACAAGAUGAUGAUACAUUGAAAGUCUGCAAACUGACUAGGAAAAAGUAAGCACACGCAGCAUGUUUAUAUGUUUAUUUAUUUUUCUGUCUGUUUAUAUGUGAAUUCAGGUAUUUACAUGAGAAUUUAGGCAUUUCUUUUUCGUUUUUCUUACUUCCCCCACAGGACCAGGCACGGUGCAGAGAAGUAGACGUUCACAACAGACGCAAAGGGGCAUGGUGUGACUCAUUUGCUGUUUUUAAUUGAACCAAGCAUAGUCUGAUUUAUUUUAUUUCUUGUGCUCUUUUGACAGGCUUUGGAAAUAAGACGGCUUAAUUUGAGCAGCCAGGGUGAGCCACAGAAUGGCGUCCCACUGAAAGUGUAAUAUCCAAAUGGCCAUGUUGUAAGGAGAUUUCACCUCAUGCAGCCAAUUCAGAUGGUGUGUUUGAGAUCACACUGGAACACUUUUUGGUGUUUGCUUCUGGAGCUGACCGAGUACCAGCACUUGGUUUUUACCCUCAUCCAACACUGAAUUUCAUUCAUGAGAUAGGGCGGAAGUACCCUGAAGCCAAGUAAAUUAGAAACUUCCUAUCCAUGACACUUAUGUACAAUUCACCAAGUUUAUGUGUGAGGGCAUUAUUCAAGCUACCAUUUUUGGUCUGGCUUAAAGUCACUGACAGCUAAUUUCAUAAUGGCUGUUUGAACUUUGAAAGGACAAAACUACAACUGUUUUGGUACACAACACCCAAAUGUAAUUAAAUAAAUUGUUGUACGAGUGGUGCAGCUUCUUUAACGAAUAGGGCAUUGCAUGAUGUGUGAGUAUAGUGGGUGUGUGGAUGAGUGAGAGUGAGGGAGUGAAAAAAGAAAGCAGGAUGGUGGGUGCUAGAGCUAAUUACUGGUCAGAAAAGACUAUGACUGUCCAGUUAAAGUUCUGCCUGGUGGGUGCUGCAGGGGCGAUCAUUCACCGAAACCCUCAGUCUUCACAGUGGGAUUACAGCCGCGUGAUGGAGGAGAUGGAAACUGCACACAGCCCUUCUUCAGAGCAUGCAACUGUGGUGCCUAUUGAACUGAGACAGCACGUCCGCAAACUGGGUGAGGCUCUUCAUGUUUUAAGAGACGACAUAUAUGGGAAACUGUCAGUAGCUUACAGUGACUGGACUGAGACUGAGCAGGAUGCCAUAGGCGUUGAAGUUUUCACUAAUGUUGUUGGGAUGCAGAAAUUAUACAGAAAAUGUUAGAACAGCCACACUGCACACUAGCCCAAGCUUAUGACAUCACCCGCCGCCAAGAAAUCACCAAGCGGACGGUGUCAUAUGUCACCAGCCUCAUGCACUCAGGGGCAUGCAGCAUAACUGAACGUAGGCCCCGUGCUGCUGUGAACAGGGAGGGAACCGAGGAGAAGGAAGCUGAGACUGUUGCAGCAUCCCCAGUAGCCAGUUGGAAGCCCAAGCCUCCUGACCCCAACCACACACCACAUAAAGGGAGAGGCCAUAAGGACAUUACUCUAGCCUAUUAAUCAACCCAAUCAAACCUAAUCUAAAUUAUAGCUCACUUAAAAGCCUUGUUCUUAGUCUUUCACACCCAACCUGGAAAACACGACAGCCAAUUCUAUUUGUUAUAGUACGACGGUGUAGUCCCUCAUUCGU